rnacentral:misc_RNA from 1 species
GAUGAAGAACGUAGUGAAAUGCGAUACGUAAUGUGAAUUGCAGAAUUCAGUGAAUCAUCGAAUCUUUGAACGCACAUUGCGCCUGCCAGCACUCUGGCAGGCAUGCCUGUUCGAGCGUCAUUUCAACCAUCAAGCCCUAGGCUUGCGUUGGAGCCCUGCGGCUGCCGCAGGCCCCUAAAAGCAGUGGCGGGCUCGCUAUCACACCGAGUGCAGUAGAUUACUCUUCGCUCAGGGCGUGUGGCGGGUGCUAGCCGUGAAACCCCCAACUUCUCAAGGUUGACCUCGGAUCAGGUAGGAAUACCCGCUGAACUUAAGCAUAUCAAUAAGCGGAGGA